rnacentral:rRNA from 1 species
UCGCACGGGUUCAGACCCGUGGCCAAUAGCUCAGUAGCACGUGGCCAAUCUACCCUCUGGAACGGCAUACCCUCGGGAAACUGAGGUUAAUUCCGUACACCGCUCUCAACCUGGAAUGGUGGGAGCUCGAAACGCUCCGGCGCCGGAGGAUGAGGCUGCGGCCGAUUAGGUUGACGGUGGGGUAAUGGCCCACCGUGCCGAUAAUCGGUCUGGGUCAUGAGAGUGAGAACCCAGAGACGGACUCUGAGACAAGAUUCCGGGCCCUACGGGGCGCAGCAGGCGCGAAACCUUUACACUGCACGCCAGUGCGAUAAGGGGACCCCAAGUGCGCAGGCAUAGUGCCUGCGCUUUUCUGGACUGUAGGGCGGUCCAGGAACAAGGGCUGGGCAAGACCGGUGCCAGCCGCCGCGGUAAUACCGGCAGCCCAAGUGAUGGCCGCUGUUAUUGGGCCUAAAGCGUCCGUAGCUGGCCGCACAAGUCCGUCGGGAAAUCCGCCCGCUCAACGGGCGGCCGUCCGGCGGAACCUGUGUGGCUUGGGACCGGGAGGCCUGAGGGGUACGAUCGGGGUAGGAGUGAAAUCCUGUAAUCCCGC